AGCGAAACGCAUAAACAAGCUCUCAGUUCGGAUCGGAGGCUGCAACUCGCCUCCGUGAAGUCGGAAUCGCUAGUAAUCGCAGGUCAGCAUACUGCGGUGAAUACGUUCCCGGGCCUUGUACACACCGCCCGUCACACCACGAAAGUUGGCAACACCCGAAGCCGGUGGGGUAACCUGCGAUGGAACUAGCCGUCUAAGGUGGGGUCAAUGAUUGGGGUGAAGUCGUAACAAGGUAGCCGUAUCGGAAGGUGCGGCUGGAUCACCUCCUUUCU
rnacentral:rRNA from 1 species